UACGUAGGUGGCAAGCGUUGUCCGGAAUUAUUGGGCGUAAAGCGCGCGCAGGCGGUCCUUUAAGUCUGAUGUGAAAGCCCACGGCUCAACCGUGGAGGGUCAUUGGAAACUGGGGGACUUGAGUGCAGAAGAGGAGAGUAGAAUUCCACGUGUAGCGGUGAAAUGCGUAGAGAUGUGGAGGAACACCAGUGGCGAAGGCGACUCUCUGGUCUGUAACUGACGCUGAGGCGCGAAAGCGUGGGGAGCAAACAGG
rnacentral:rRNA from 1 species